UACGAAGGGGGCUAGCGUUGCUCGGAAUCACUGGGCGUAAAGGGUGCGUAGGCGGGUCUUUUAAGUCAGGGGUGAAAUCCUGGAGCUCAACUCCAGAACUGCCUUUAAUACUGAAGAUCUUGAGUUCGGGAGAGGUGAGUGGAACUGCGAGUGUAGAGGUGAAAUUCGUAGAUAUUCGCAAGAACACCAGUGGCGAAGGCGGCUCACUGGCCCGAUACUGACGCUGAGGCACGAAAGCGUGGGGAGCAAACAGG
rnacentral:rRNA from 1 species